GGUCUUUCCACUGUCCAGAAAAGCAAUCCCGAAGCUUUGCUUUUGGUCCACGAAAACACCAUGGGUCGCAUUAAAAAGGAUGAUUGGUCUGGUAGUUAUACGACUUUUUCUGGAACGGAAGAGAUUUUUAUUGGUGGGGAGAGAUUGAGAAUCAUUUUUGCUCCAGGGCAUACAGAUGGACAUUUAGCAUUGCUUCAUGUUAGCACUAAUUCCUUGAUUGUUGGUGAUCAUUGUGUGGGGUAAG